rnacentral:ncRNA from 1 species
UAGCCUUUUUAUUAGCCCAUAGCAAGCUUACACAUGCAAGCAUCUGCGCCCCGGUGAGAAUGCCCUCUAUAUCAUUUAGCCCGAUCAAAAGGAGCAGGCAUUAAGUUCGCUACCACACAGCAGCUCACGAUACCUUGCUAAACCACACCCCCACGGGAUACAGCAGUGAUUAAACUUAAGCAACAUAAACGAAAGUUUGACUAAGCUAUGCUACAAUAGAAUUGGUAAAUUUCGUGCCAGCCACCGCGGUCAUACGAUUAAUUCUAGUUAAUAAAGCACGGCGUAAAGCGUGAUUAAGAACAAACAUUAAAUAAGACUAAGCUUAAGCUAAGCUGUAAAAAGCCCUAGCCAUAAUAAAAAUAAAGAACGAAAGUAGUCUUACCACCCCUGAACUCACGAUAGCUAAGGCCCAAACUGGGAUUAGAUACCCCACUAUGCUUAGCCCUAAACACAAAUAGUUAAAAAACAAAACUAUUCGCCAGAGAACUACUAGCUACUGCUUAAAACUCAAAGGACUUGGCGGUGCUUUACAUCCCUCUAGAGGAGCCUGUUCUAUAAUCGAUAAACCCCGAUAAACCUCACCACCCUUUGCAAUAUUCAGCCUAUAUACCGCCAUCUUCAGCAAACCCUAACAAGGUCCUAUAGUAAGCACAAGAAUACUACAUAAGAACGUUAGGUCAAGGUGUAGCCUAUAGGGUGGUAAGCAAUGGGCUACAUUUUCUAUGUCUCCUAGAACAAUAAUAAACGAUGGCUUUUAUGAAACCAAUAUAAGCUCAAGGCGGAUUUAGCAGUAAGUUAGGAAUAGAGUGCCUAACUGAAUUGGGCAAUAAAGCAC